CGCGGCCUAUCAGCUUGUUGGUGGGGUAAUGGCCUACCAAGGCGACGACGGGUAGCCGGCCUGAGAGGGUGACCGGCCACACUGGGACUGAGACACGGCCCAGACUCCUACGGGAGGCAGCAGUGGGGAAUAUUGCACAAUGGGCGCAAGCCUGAUGCAGCGACGCCGCGUGAGGGAUGAAGGCCUUCGGGUUGUAAACCUCUUUCAGUAGGGAAGAAGCUGGUCCUUCGGGGUUGGUGACGGUACCUGCAGAAGAAGCGCCGGCUAACUACGUGCCAGCAGCCGCGGUAAUACGUAGGGCGCAAGCGUUAUCCGGAAUUAUUGGGCGUAAAGAGCUCGUAGGCGGUUUGUCGCGUCUGCCGUGAAAGUCCGGGGCUUAACUCCGGAUCUGCGGUGGGUACGGGCAGACUAGAGUGCAGUAGGGGAGACUGGAAUUCCUGGUGUAGCGGUGAAAUGCGCAGAUAUCAGGAGGAACACCGAUGGCGAGGGCAGGUCUCUGGGCUGUAACUGACGCUGAGGAGCGAAAGCAUGGGGAGCGAACAGGAUUAGAUACCCUGGUAGUCCAUGCCGUAAACGUUGGGCACUAGGUGUGGGGGACAUUCCACGUUUUCCGCGCCGUAGCUAACGCAUUAAGUGCCCCGCCUGGGGAGUACGG
rnacentral:rRNA from 1 species